UACGUAGGGUCCGAGCGUUGUCCGGAAUUAUUGGGCGUAAAGAGCUCGUAGGCGGUUUGUCGCGUCUGCUGUGAAAUCCCGAGGCUCAACCUCGGGCCUGCAGUGGGUACGGGCAGACUGGAGUGCGGUAGGGGAGAAUGGAAUUCCUGGUGUAGCGGUGGAAUGCGCAGAUAUCAGGAGGAACACCGGUGGCGAAGGCGGGUCUCUGGGCCGGUACUGACGCUGAGGCGCGAAAGCGUGGGGAGCGAACAGG
rnacentral:rRNA from 1 species